AUACGUAGGUGGCAAGCGUUGUCCGGAAUUAUUGGGCGUAAAGCGCGCGCAGGUGGUUCCUUAAGUCUGAUGUGAAAGCCCCCGGCUCAACCGGGGAGGGUCAUUGGAAACUGGGGAACUUGAGUGCAGAAGAGGAUAGUGGAAUUCCAAGUGGAGCGGUGAAAUGCGUAGAGAUUUGGAGGAACACCAGUGGCGAAGGCGACUGUCUGGUCUGUAACUGACACUGAGGCGCGAAAGCGUGGGGAGCAAACAGGAUUAGAUACCCUGGUAGUCCACGCCGUAAACGAUGAGUGCUAAGUGUUGGGGGGUUUCCGCCCCUCAGUGCUGCAGCUAACGCAUUAAGCACUCCGCCUGGGGAGUACGGUCGCAAGACUGAAACUCAAAUGAAUUGACGGGG
rnacentral:rRNA from 1 species